UACGAAGGGGGCUAGCGUUGUUCGGAAUUACUGGGCGUAAAGCGCGCGCAGGCGGUCUUCCAAGUCAGUGGUGAAAGCCCGGAGCUCAACUCCGGAACUGCCAUUGAAACUGUAAGGCUUGAGGAUGAGAGAGGUGAGUGGAAUUCCCAGUGUAGAGGUGAAAUUCGUAGAUAUUGGGAAGAACACCGGUGGCGAAGGCGGCUCACUGGCUCAUUACUGACGCUCAGGCGCGACAGCGUGGGGAUCAAACAGG
rnacentral:rRNA from 1 species